GCUCCGCGCUGCUCCGCGCUGCUCCGCGAGCCGGGAAUGCGCCGGCGAUGAGGAAACAACUGCAGACACUUCUGGCAUAGAGGCAUCUUGGCGGCAGCGCUGCUGUUGGCCUCCUGCUAGUAAUCAGUGAGGGGGUACCGCAGGAAGAUGAAGAUGAGGAUGAUACAGAAGGUGGCAAGGGCUGAGCUGGUGAUGUUAAAAAGCCGGGCUGUCUUGGCAUCUUCCACUGCACCAUUUAAGUCAUUGAGGAGUUUCUUAUCCCGGACCUGAGGCAGAAAAACAAAAUUAACUGGGAGAUGUGCUGUGAUACUAUGUAAUAAAAUGAUGUAAUAAAAGUAAUAAUGCAUCCCCA